rnacentral:rRNA from 1 species
UACAUGGGGUGCAAACGUUGCUCGGAAUUAUUGGGCGUAAAGCGCACGUAGGCGGUUUGUUAAGUCGGAUGUGAAAUCCCUCGGCUCAACUGAGGAAGUGCAUCCGAAACUGGCAGGCUUGAGUACUAAAGAGGGUCGCGGAAUUCCCGGUGUAGAGGUGAAAUUCGUAGAUAUCGAGAGGAACACCGGUGGCGAAGGCGGGUCUCUGGGCCGAUACUGACGCUGAGGAGCGAAAGCGUGGGGAGCGAACAGG